CUCAGUGGGCUAAUAUUUCAUCAGAAGAAUCUGUUUGUCCCUUGGUAAAUAAAAUGCAUGCCAUUAAAUUGGGUAAAAGUAACAUCCCUAUGAUAUACUUGGAAACCAGAAAAUAUCUAAAUGUCUCUUUCCUGGUUCAAGAUUUUGCAAUAAUUAUUUCUAGUGCCUUUUAAUACAACUGCUGGGUUCACUUAUUCUAUGUGCUUUUUAAUUGCAUUAUUAUAUUC